rnacentral:rRNA from 1 species
UACGUAGGGUGCAAGCGUUAAUCGGAAUUACUGGGCGUAAAGCGUGCGCAGGCGGUUUUGUAAGACAGAGGUGAAAUCCCCGGGCUCAACCUGGGAACUGCAUCCGAGACUGCAUUGCUAGAGUAUGGGAGAGGGAAGCGGAAUUUCUGGUGUAGCAGUGAAAUGCGUAGAUAUCAGAAGGAACAUCAGUGGCGAAGGCGGCUUCCUGGACCAAUACUGACGAUCAGGUGCGAAAGCGUGGGGAGCAAACAGG